rnacentral:rRNA from 1 species
CCUGCCAGUAGUCAUAUGCUUGUCUCAAAGAUUAAGCCAUGCAUGUCUCAGUGCAAGCCAAAUUAAGGUGAAACCGCGAAUGGCUCAUUAAAUCAGUUAUGGUUCCUUAGACCGUACCCACAUUUACUUGGAUAACUGUGGUAAUUCUAGAGCUAAUACAUGCAAACAGAGUCCCGACCGGAGACGGGAGGGACGCUUUUAUUAGAUCAAAACCAAUCGGCCGGCUCGCCCGGUCCGUUUGCCUUGGUGACUCUGAAUAACUUUUGGCCGAUCGCACGGUCUCCGUACCGGCGACGCGUCUUUCAAAUGUCUGCCUUAUCAACUGUCGAUGGUAGGUUCUGCGCCUACCAUGGUUGUAACGGGUAACGGGGAAUCAGGGUUCGAUUCCGGAGAGGGAGCCUGAGAAACGGCUACCACAUCCAAGGAAGGCAGCAGGCGCGCAAAUUACCCACUCCCGGCACGGGGAGGUAGUGACGAAAAAUAACGAUACGGGACUCAUCCGAGGCCCCGUAAUCGGAAUGAGUACACUUUAAAUCCUUUAACGAGUAUCCAUUGGAGGGCAAGUCUGGUGCCAGCAGCCGCGGUAAUUCCAGCUCCAAUAGCGUAUAUUAAAGUUGUUGCGGUUAAAAAGCUCGUAGUUGGAUCUGUGUCCCACGCUGUCGGUUCACAGCCCGUCUGUGCUUAACUGGCACGCCCGUGCGGACGUCCUGCCGGUGGACGCGGCCGGGGCGGUAAGCGUGGCCUCCGGGCCCGCCCCGCCUCGGCGGUCCGAUCAAAUCCUACCGCGGUGCUCUUAACCGAGUGUCGAGGUGGGCCGGCACGUUUACUUUGAACAAAUUAGAGUGCUUAAAGCAGGCAGUGUUAGCCUGAAUACUGUGUGCAUGGAAUAAUGGAAUAGGACCUCGGUUCUAUUUUGUUGGUUUUCGGAAUUUGAGGUAAUGAUUAAUAGGGACAGGCGGGGGCAUUCGUAUUGCGACGUUAGAGGUGAAAUUCUUGGAUCGUCGCAAGACGAACCUAAGCGAAAGCAUUUGCCAAGGAUGUUUUCACUAAUCAAGAACGAAAGUUAGAGGUUCGAAGGCGAUCAGAUACCGCCCUAGUUCUAACCAUAAACGAUGCCAGCUAGCGAUCCGCCGAAGUUCCUCCGAUGACUCGGCGGGCAGCUUCCGGGAAACCAAAGCUUUUGGGUUCCGGGGGAAGUAUGGUUGCAAAGCUGAAACUUAAAGGAAUUGACGGAAGGGCACCACCAGGAGUG